AUAUCUUGUCAAGUGACUCAACCCUACGGCCGCAUUCUCAUGUGGUUGCUUCCUCGGGCUGCCAGUGUGGAAAAUUUUGGACACAAAAACAAGACCACGACAAGAGAGAGAAAGAAGGGAGAGAGAGGGAGGAGACAACAUGAGCCCUAGCUUUUUUGAAUAUCUAGAGAGAGAGAGAGAGAGGGAGGAGACAACAGGAGAGAGAGAGAGACCCAAUUUCUUGGAAUAUCUUGACGUGCUUCACUGGUUUGGUGGGAAACGAAAUGUCUUUGUCCGUUUCGGAAUUGGAUCCCCCGUAUCAUGAGACUAUUUAUUUUUGUUACACAAAGAUACAAUUACCGUGAUCAUUAGAUGUGACAUUCAAUAGAUAAAAUUACAUCAUAACAUUUAGAAAAAAUUUGUUUUGGACCCUAUGCUUAAG
rnacentral:lncRNA from 1 species